AGCACAAAGGCAUGGACACUUUAUGUGCCAUAAUUCUUCACUUACAAAUUGUUGUAUGAAGAAAUGAGAGUUGCCUUGAACAACUCUUGAAAGUUUUGUAAUUAUGUUUAGAACAUAAUGGUUGGUUGACAAAAAUAGUCCAUCAACAUGGACUUAUGAUGAUUUUGAAUCAUUGAGUGUUGAAGUGUUACACCACUUCUAGAGACGGAAACUAAGCAAGGACUUCACCUUUGUGUCCCUAUCCAAAUGGUUCACUAAGUUUAUUGUAAACUAUAUAGUGAACAAU
rnacentral:lncRNA from 1 species